rnacentral:rRNA from 1 species
GACGAACGCUGGCGGCGCGCCUAACACAUGCAAGUCGAACGGAGCUUAAAGGAGCUUGCUUUUUUAAGCUUAGUGGCGGACGGGUGAGUAACACGUGAGCAACCUGCCUUUCAGAGGGGGAUAACGUUUGGAAACGAACGCUAAUACCGCAUAACAUUGCUUUAAGGCAUCUUAAGGCAAUCAAAGGAGCAAUCCGCUGAAAGAUGGGCUCGCGUCCGAUUAGAUAGUUGGCGAGGGUAACGGCCCACCAAGUCGACGAUCGGUAGCCGGACUGAGAGGUUGAACGGCCACAUUGGGACUGAGACACGGCCCAG